UGGGGGAGCGUCGGAUCCUGGGCUGUGUCCCCCGUUGCCCUGGGAUCCGGGUCCUGUGCCGCUGGAAUCACACUCCUGGGGCUUGUCAGCCCCUU
rnacentral:pre_miRNA from 1 species